CCUGAAAAGUCAGUGCUGAGAAAGGGGCAUCGCUGCUGAGCCGAGGCAGGGCGGGCCGCGCCGAGGUGGGAGGCACGACAGAGGGGAGGGAGCCCGGGCCAAAGGGGCGGACACCGGGUGGCGUCUAGAGCUUCAUAAAGGGGCUGUGGGGGCCGCUCUGUUCUCUGCGCGGGGCGGUCACCGGCAGUGAACGCUGCGCGAUGCCGGUUCGGUGCGCGCAAAGUCCGAUGCUGGCAGGUAGCGCCACUGUAGCCACCCUGGGGGCACUGACUCUGUACCUCACCAAGCCCUUCAGCUAUGGGAAGCACAUGGAGAUCUCAGCGCCCGGGGGUACCUGCCUGCCCGCCCGCACCGCCUGGUUCCUGCAGGAGCUGCCCGCCUUCGUGGUGUCCGCAGGGAUCCUCGCCUGGCAGCCCCGCUCCCUCUUCGGACCGCCUGGGACUUUCCUUCUGGGCCUCUUCUGCGCACAUUACUUCCACAGGACAUUCAUUUACUCCUUGCUCACCAGAGGGAGACCUUUUCCAGUGGUGUUCCUUUUCAGAGGAAGUAUCUUCUGUGUUGGGAAUGGAUUCCUCCAAGCCUACUACCUGAUUUACUGUGCAGAAUACUCUGAAGAGUGGUACACCGAUAUCCGGUUUAGGGCGGGUGUCUUCCUAUUUAUUUUGGGAAUGGGAAUCAACAUUCACAGUGACUACAUAUUGCGCCACCUCAGGAAGCCUGGAGAAAUAACCUACAGGAUUCCACAAGGUGGUUUGUUUACAUAUGUUUCUGGAGCCAAUUACCUCGGUGAGAUCAUUGAAUGGAUUGGCUAUGCCUUGGCCACUUGGUCCCCUCCAGGACUUGCUUUUGCCUUUUUCUCACUUUGUUUCCUUGGGCAGCGAGCUUUUCAUCACCACAGCAACAACUUCAUAUGCAAGUGCUUCCCAGGAAGAGAAAACAGAGCCUGCUCUGCUGGAGGUCUACUAGAAGGAGUCCUGGUCCAGUAGGUCAAACUCCUGGAUCUCCAGUGGCAUCCAGCGCAUCUGCACACCCUGAACAACCACGGGCCUCGGCUGUAGCAGAUUCAGGUCUCCGGUUGCCUAAGGAAUGUCAACUGACGUUGAGGAAUGUUCUACCUCAAGAUGUUUGAGGACUAUCCCAAGUCUCGGAAAGCCCUUGUUCCAUUCAUCAUUUAAAGAAACCAAAUAAAAAAGGAGCAAAGCUACCCCAAUACCAGUAAAAACUCUCAAGAUGCUGAAACUGUAAUUUGCAAAGUUACAUUAUAUAAGUACAUAUGUAUAAAGUGGUAGUUAUCAUUGUGCCAACAGGCCUGGGGAUUCUGCAUGAUGCAGAAUCUGUCCUGAUCUCCUAUUGGAGUUUCAAAAAGACCUUUUCUAAGUGGAGACAUUUUCUUCUUAGCUAUGCCUCCUCAAAAGUGUAAAGCUUCCUGUAUGUUUUUUCUACUGGCUAAUCCCAGUACAUGUGGCUUUUUCCUACCCUGUAUCAAUGAAGGACAGCUCUGUAGCCAAGAGUGUUUGGGGUGAGGGCAGUGCUUCGGAACUUAUGAAAGGCAGACAUUUUGAACCUCUGCAGAAUAGUAGAGGAUUAAAUUCCGAAGCCACAUAUGCUCAAGAGCACAACCAUUCCUCAAUGGAAACCUUGUCACAUCUUCCUUAAUUAGGAAAGAUGAGAAAAGGCAGAUUCACAUCUGCCUCCUCACGUUGCCAAAAAUAUACUGAUUCAUUUUUGUGCAAAUUUGUGCAGUGUCUUAAUUGAUGGGUGCCUCAGUCUUCCAGAAGAUUCCACAGUUCCCAUUAGAGGUAUCAGCUUAAUCCAGAAAGCUGGUGUGAGUUUUCUUGAAGGUCAGCUGUGUUGUUUUGGUUUUGCUUUAUGGUGCUGGGGAUCAAAGCCAGGGCCUCAUGCACGCUCUACCACCGAGCUACAUCCCCAGCCUGAAGUUCAUAUUUUAAUGACAAAGAAAAGACUAGGACCCCCAAAUGGUUACUGAGAGAGUAAAGAAGUGCUUUGCAAUAUACAUCACGGACUCUCAUGCUCUUGGAAACAAACGAGAAUAACCAAUAAGAGAAAUUAAUGAGUGAGAUCUAAAGGAUAGGCGAUACAACAGAAGUCGUGGGCUGCUUUCCUCUUCUGGAAUUUCUUCAUCAGAGUGCUCAACACCUGUCAAGAAGAUGUGUCCCCCCUGGGGGGGCAGGCUUGAACUUCAACCUUAAUGGUCCCAAGGGCAGAAGAUGAGAACUGCAGACAGAAACAUCUGGACAGAACACUUGUUUCAUCAUAUUCACUGUUUCACACCUAGCUGGGGUUUUCUUUAAUAACUUGCAGGAUCUUGGCACACAGCCCGAGUUCCCACAUGAGAACUUGGGACUGAGUAGCAAGUAAGCAUUUGAGUUUGCAGCGUCUUGUGAGGGUAUCUCCUGUUGGACUCAAAGGAAAGGGAUGAGCACUCAGAAUCUGAAUAUAUACAAAUAUUUGUCUCCUGGUCCUGCUUUGGGGAAAGCAUUGGCACUACUCAGCAAACUGUUUGAGAACGGACCACCAGGUUUAUCAGGUGUGGUGCUAACAUACAGAAACUCACUCUGUAAGACACAUGGAGACUUGAAAGAGCUGGGGAGAGAGUGGUUUACUGAAAAAUACCAAUUGAAAUUAUAUAAAUAUGUGUUUCCUUGUUCAUUAAAUGCCUUUCAAGUCGCAGAUGUUAAGUAAAUGUGUUUGAAUUAAAAGAUCCUGGGACUUCUGGAGAUUUUUAUACUGUAUUAAGUUGUAUUUCCCCCCAUCCCCCAACCCAGUUUUUUGUGUUGCCUCCA